rnacentral:rRNA from 1 species
GAUGAACGCUGGCGGCGUGCCUAAUACAUGCCAGUCGAGCGAACAGACGAGGAGCUUGCUCCUCUGACGUUAGCGGCGGACGGGUGAGUAACACGUGGAUAACCUACCUAUAAGACUGGGAUAACUUCGGGAAACCGGAUCUAAUACCGGAUAAGAUAUUGAACCGCAUGGUUCAAUAGUGAAAGACGGUUUUGCUGUCACUUAUAGAUGGAUCCGCGCCGCAUUAGCUAGUUGGUAAGGUAACGGCUUACCAAGGCAACGAUGCGUAGCCGACCUGAGAGGGUGAUCGGCCACACUGGAACUGAGACACGGUCCAGACUCCUACGGGAGGCAGCAGUAGGGAAUCUUGCGCAAUGGGCGAAAGCCUGACGGAGCAACGCCGCGUGAGUGAUGAAGGUCUUCGGAUCGUAAAACUCUGUUAUUAGGGAAGAACAAAUGUGUAAGUAACUAUGCACGUCUUGACGGUACCUAAUCAGAAAGCCACGGCUAACUACGUG